AAUGAACGUUGGCGGCGUGGAUUAGGCAUGCAAGUCGAGCGAGAACCCAGCAAUGGGGGACAGCGGCGAAAGGGACAGUAAUGUGUAGAUCAUCUGCCCUCAGGCCCGGGAUAGCUGCGGGAAACUGCAGGUAAUACCGGAUAAUAUCUCCGGAUCAAAGGUGUGAUUCCGCCUGGGGAUGAGUCUACAUCCUAUUAGCUUGUUGGUGGGGUAAUGGCCUACCAAGGCGAUGAUGGGUAGCGGGUGUGAGAGCACGACCCGCGUCAUUGGGACUGAGACACUGCCCAGACACCUACGGGUGGCUGCAGUCGAGAAUCUUCGGCAAUGGGCGCAAGCCUGACCGAGCGACGCCGCGUGCGGGAUGAAGGCCUUCGGGUUGUAAACCGCUGUCAGAGGGGAUGAAAUGCAGGUGGGUUCUCCCAUCUGUUUGACAUAGCCUCAGAGGAAGGACGGGCUAAGUUCGUGCCAGCAGCCGCCGUAAGAC
rnacentral:rRNA from 1 species